AUUGAACGCUGGCGGCAGGCUUAACACAUGCAAGUCGAGCGGGGUGAUGGUGCUUGCACUAUCACUUAGCGGCGGACGGGUGAGUAAUGCUUAGGAAUCUGCCUAUUAGUGGGGGACAACAGCUCGAAAGGGAUGCUAAUACCGCAUACGUCCUACGGGAGAAAGCAGGGGAUCAAUUGUGACCUCGCGCUAAUAGAUGAGCCUAAGUCGGAUUAGCUAGUUGGUGGGGUAAAGGCCUACCAAGGCGACGAUCUGUAGCGGGUCUGAGAGGAUGAUCCGCCACACUGGGACUGAGACACGGCCCGGACUCCUACGGGAGGCAGCAGUGGGGAAUAUUGGACAAUGGGGGGAACCCUGAUCCAGCCAUGCCGCGUGUGUGAAGAAGGCCUUAUGGUUGUAAAGCACUUUAAGCGAGGAGGAGGCUCUUUUGGUUAAUACCCAAGAUGAGUGGACGUUACUCGCAGAAUAAGCACCGGCUAACUCUGUGCCAGCCGCCGCAGUAA
rnacentral:rRNA from 1 species